rnacentral:rRNA from 1 species
UACGUAGGGUGCAAGCGUUAAUCGGAAUUACUGGGCGUAAAGCGUGCGCAGGCGGUUAUGUAAGACAGGUGUGAAAUCCCAGGGCUCAACCUUGGAACUGCAUUUGUGACUGCAUAGCUAGAGUACGGUAGAGGGGGAUGGAAUUCCGCGGUGUAGCAGUGAAAUGCGUAGAUAUGCGGAGGAACACCGAUGGCGAAGGCAAUCCCCUGGACCUGUACUGACGCUCAUGCACGAAAGCGUGGGGAGCAAACAGG